GCGACCCGGCACCGGCGGCGACACCGAGUAGCCGGGUGGACCAGGCUCUGUCGUGUUCCGGGGCUCGGGAGCGGGGUUCUCCUCCGGCUCCUGGGAGUCCUGCAAGGACAGGCACCGCAGGGGUCAGCGGACAGACCGCUGACCCAAUCUGGAAGCGCAUCUCUUUCUAGAUGGCCCUGGGACUACAGGGAUGGGGGUCCCUCGGUACCCUUCACACUCCUGGCUUUUCCUGGUUGGGUGCUUUCUGCCAGCAAGAUGAACCUGACUGAAACAAUGGCCAACCAAGACUGUGUGAAUGGACUCUAAGAACAAAUGGUGGGAAUGAACUGUAAGAAUGACUUGUGGGAAUGAACUAUGGAAAAGAACUGUGGGAAUAUUCCUUAUGGAUCUUAGAAAUAACUUUUCUGAGAUAUUGCUAUGAGAUGCUUUUUCUAUUAAGUUCCUGACUUAUAACUUGCCCUGAAGAACUGCCACAGAUGUGUUGAAGACCACAGGUGGGCUUAGUGUGGCGGCGUUUGUGAACAGAGUGAGUGUGUUCUGUAUCAGCAGAGUCUAACGGGCCGUACACCUAAAUCUCUUCCUGUGCAAAUGUUUAAUGAAUUAUUGCCCUUUACUCAUGUGUUGCCUGUCCUUUGCCCAUGUGUUGUAGUCAGUUUAUGUUGAAGGUAUGAUCAUCCAAUAAGACACAGUUUAGGGAAGAAAGGGAUUUGUUUCAAGUUUACAGAUCCUUAGGAAGUUCUAUCAAUGGUGGAAGAAGCCAGCUCCCUUUCACAGAUCCAAACAGAGAGAAAAACCACUAACCAGCUAGCAAACACCAAAAAACAGCAAGCACAAAUCCACAAACUGGCAGCAAGCAGGACCCCUAGAACUCAUGACUCCUCUACAUACUUUUGGGCUGGAAUUCAGAUCUGGUGUGAGUGACAUGCCCCCUCCAGUAGGCUUCUGGAGACUUAAGCAGGAAGUUUAACCUUAAUAAAAAAAAAAUACCUGAGGGUAUGAGGACAUACAUUCAAACUAUCAUACCAUGUAAUACUAAUUCUUCAUGCAUUAUUAUUAUUAUUAUUUGCUGUUCACUAAAAACACUAUUGAGUGCCUGUAAGAGGAAGAUACAACUGCAGAAACAUCAGAGCAGCCGUGACAGCAGCAGCAGCAGCAGCAGGCUGACCCUUGGUUUGGAUGAUUACAAGGGUCAGUUUUUCUUCUUUCAGGCUCCACUCUAAAAAGCAGCAUUCCACUCUAAAAAGGCCCACUCUUGGGUGAACAAAUCCAACACUCAAUUUCUAUAAUUCCUGAACUAUGGUCCCCAAUUGGGCACAAGAUGACUACCAAGGGAUCCCCCUUCCCCAAUUCCUGAAUUCUACACUUCUCCAUCCCUAAGCUUAGGAAUGAUCCUUUCCUCCAUAAAAGUUUGUCCACAUGACACAGUCCCAAACCUGGGGUGGUGUGACUCUCUCUAGAGAAGCCCAUACUCCCUCUUGAGAUGUACUUUCACUUCUCUCAAUUCCUUACUGCGUCUCAUGUCUGAAUUCUUAUGUGAUGAUGGCAAGAAUCUUAAACAUUGGGUAGAGGUCUGCAGUUUAUCUCUCAGACCUCCCUAGAAUUCAGUUCUGCCAACAAUCUGAGAAAACACUGCUUCCCAUUCCCUGCUAAUGUUACUGUAUAGGUAUGCCAUGUGUUAUAUAAAUGUUGGGGCUAUUA